AACGAGAGAAUAAGUAAGGAAAAUGAAAGGUGAGUUUGAUUGUGGUAUAUAUGUAUGUAGCGCGGGAAACAUGGAAAUGUUUAAGAAAAUACAUAUGUAUGUGUACAUACAUAAAUUUCGAUUAUUAUUUUAUUUUUGUGUUUUUUUCUUUUUGCUUUUGAUUAUAUUAUAAGCGAUCCUGCUAGUUGCUUUUUUAGCAAAAAAAGGAGGAGCUGGAAAGCUUGCAAGUAGGAAUACGUGACUUUGCAAAAUUGUGUUUGGAGACACAAAAAGUUUAUAGGAAGGUACCGCACUUUUAUUUUUAUUUAUUUAUUUUUUUUCAAUCGAUUCGGUGCAUACAUAAUAUCCAUAUACGAACUGUCUUUUUUUAAACUUAAGAGCAGUUGGGUUUUUCAUAAAUUACUGUAUGCCGAAAUACUGAUAAAACUGUAAAUUGAAUAUACCUACAUACAUUUGUGCGUGAGAUUUCAAAACUUUACAUUUGUUCAAAUCUACGUAUGUAUGUAUUUUUUUCGUAACUCCAUACAAUGACUUUAAUUGUUGCGUUUCUUUCUUCUUUUUUUAGGUGACUUUCAAAGAGGCCCGAAUACCAUUUUGGAAUUUUCACCUUGCGUUUGGUGUUAUACACACUUGCAAUUUUGGGUUCUUCAGAAGUUUUCAAAGUGAACGGACGUGUUUUUUAAUUCGCUUUGUGAAUGCAAUUCCAAUUCAAAAGAACAUCACGAAAAACAAAACCUAAUAAGUGAAAUAAAUAAACAUAAGCGAAGGACGGAUAAACCAAAACAAAACAAUGUUUGGUCAAGAAUAAUAACAAAUAUAAACCAAAAAUAAGUGAAAAACAAGUGGGCAACACAAAAAACAAUAAACAUAAUGAGUGCAGCGUAGCUCUUUAACAAGGCCAAAGGUAUUCCUUGAAUGCAUAUUUUAAUUUCGUGGAGCCAGCAAAAAUGACUCCUAACAACAAAAAAUCAAAUGAAGAUAAAGAUGAGUGAUCGUAGCGAUCAGCAGGAGAUGAGCCGAAGCUGAGGACACCGUCAGCAGAAGCAGCAAUAAACAGCUAUCGGGCAACUAUAAACUUACAGGUACCAACAAGCAUGCACGGACACCGAAGGAAAACCGAAUAGAUGGUGAGAAGUUAAAAACUGGCAAUAUAUUCAAAUUGGUAUUGACCGCUACAUUAAUGCAAAAAGAAAAUGUAGCUCCACAAAAACAGCGGUCAAUAGCAAAACAUUUCAACCCGACACUCCAAGUGCUAAAAAUCCUGAAGCUCUAAAUGGCAAUAGAUUUGCUUUACUGAGUAACGACUCAAAUGACGUAACGAAGGGUAGCACCACAGUCGGCACCAACAAUUCUCAAAUAGUUUCAUUGAAAAAGGGUGAUGAAACAAAAAAACAAACGAACACUGAGAAAAGUUUCACAGAUAUUCUAAAAUUCUUGUUAAACAAUAACAAGAAAUAUUAUUCCUAUCAAGGACCUAGUUGUUUUUAUUAUUAUUUAGGUAUAGAGACUUCGGUACAUUCUAAUCAAAUCAAUGAAGCUCCUGAAGAUCGUGGUUACGACAUUAAAACGGUUGUAAAUAUUUUCACUAUAAAUAAAGUACCACAACCAAUGUUUAAAAUUGAGUCGAUGCCAAACACUAACCAGUCAAUGAAAAAUGAAACACAUCCGAUUUAUAAUUUAAAAUAUCUUAUACAUCGUUGAAGGACCACAUAAAAGAAGAGGUCCGGUACAAUGCACUAACUGCCAAGAGUAUGAACACACCAAAUAAUAUUGCACACUACACAGUGUUUGUGUAUUAAGUUAACUAAGUAUUUCGCACAACGAAAUUACUGAAAUCACUGACCGGAGUUCCAAGUCUGACAAUGUUAAUCAUAAUGUGGUCCAACGAAGUUAUGCUGUUGUGGUAAAAGGAAUCACUGUACAAAUGCAAUUUCCCCAAAACCCCAACCAAGUGGAAGCGUUGAAAGGGUGAUUCCAAACCUUACUCAAUGUACAUGUAAUGACACAAUUUAUGUCUACAAUGCAAAAUAUGUUGUGAGAUUUAAUCAAACCUCAAAACCAAAUGUUGCAAACCUUUUUGAGUAAAAAAUGAGUGAACUAAAUGAUUGUGUAUGGAAUGGCAACGGUGUUAACCAUAUUACAAAUUGGAGAUCAUUAUAUUUCUAAAUGAAAAAAAUAUAGAUAUAAUGCUAUUAUCAGAAACUCAUUUAGACUCUAUGUUACAAAUCACCCUAAUGAAAAGGCACAUGGUGGAACAGCAGUACUGGUUAGAAAUCCAUUAAGACAUCAUGCUUUAGAAUCUCAUGCAACAGCUCAAUUACAAGCUGCAACAAUAUCUUUAAAACAUCGCGUUAGUGACUUCAACCUGAUGAUUUUUUGGUAUCCUAGGGAAUAGAUUUCUCGCAGGUGGUUAUUACAUUGCAAAGCAUAUGUAUUGAGGCUCACGUCUAAUUUAUAUGAAAGAAAAAUUUCCUCUCGUCUGGGAAAAGAUUCAAAAAGCUGCGUAUUGUGGAUGAAAUACAGAACUAAACAAUGGCACUAGUUUUUUCGAACUUAUUUGAAAAUUAUAAAAACAAAGGUAUAAACCUUUGUAAAUUAAUUAAAUUUGAGAUCUCUUGUAGGAAACUUAUUUGCACAUACAAACAGUCAUCUUUUCAUCAAUAUUUUAUAUGGGUCAACUAUUAUAAAGUAUAUACCUUGUAUUUCCAAUACAUAUUUUGUAACAAUAAAAACAAUAUUACAUAACCAAAACUAAACAUAACUUGAAGGUACGGUGUUUAUGUUAGAUUAGUUAGGCAAAACGUCGUUCACGAAGAGUUCAACCAAAAUAUAUGUUUUUUAAUUAUCUUGUAAUGAAAUUAGAUCAUUUAUAACGCAUUACAAAUUUAUUUUGAGAUAGAGUUCUCCCGCAAUAAGAGUAGUAAAUCGCUACAAGGAACGAGCCGAUUUUUCGCAAGCACUGAUAUAUUAUUUUUAAUAACAAUUGAUAAUUUAAAACAAUGAAUCGACCUAUUUACUUAUGUACAUAUAUUUUUUUGACAAAAAAUUUAACUUUGAACAAAACAUUUAAAUUUUGUAGAAGUGAAAAGUUUUAGCACGGGAACAACGAAACUGUGUAGAUAAGCUUUUUGAUAUGUCGCAGCUGUUUUGAAAAUGUUCAAGAAGCAGGCUUCAAGACGACAUAUGCCGAUCAGAAAAUUUCGCUGUCGUGCAGUCGUGUCGUUUCGUCGUCUCUGUGUUCAGAGCAUGAACUUAGACAGAUAUCACUUUAAUAAAUAAAAACAAUAGGGGAAUAUCUGGACCGACGAGGCUAAAGUAAUUGUUCAAAUAUCUUUGAACAUGCAUUAUCAAACUAAGAUAGGCUAAACUUAAGUAAAGUGAAAUUAAAAGGAACUAAAUAAAAUAAAAUGUUUAAUUGAACUUGAA